rnacentral:tRNA from 1 species
CCGCGGGUGGCGGGGCGGUUCGGCCGCUGCCUGCUGGAGCUGGGUGGCAACAAUGCCGCGAUCGUCGCGCCGAGCGCGGA